GCCGGGGUGGUGAAAUUGGCGAAACACAGGGGACUUAAAAUCCCCCACAUUAGAAACGCUGCGGGUUCGAAUCCCGCCCCCGGCACUA
rnacentral:tRNA from 1 species